AUUUUCCUGGUGGUCUCAUCGUUACAGUAUGGCUGUCCCACCUUUAGUUUCCCACCCAGGUUUUUGGUAGGAAGCAACCAAAACAACAAUCGAAACACAACAAACACAAGGAAGAACGGGAGGAGCCUGUAUCAGGAAAGCAAAACUUUUGAUUUCCAGCAGACUUGAGCUUCUAUCUCCAGGAAAGAACUGUGGCAUACCCUCAUCUCGGCUGCAAGAGAGGCAAAAAAGUGAAAAGGAUAUUGGAUAGACAACUAGCAGGGUCUAUCCCAUGGACAAGCCAGAGGCCGUUCCUCAUGAAUGAUGAAGACCUAUUUUCAGAGCUUGAAGAUGUGGCAAGAUUAUGAAUGUGUGGUUGGCUGAGACAUUUCAGGCAAGACUGUGAAAGCUGUGAGCAGAAUUUCAAGCACUCAGAUACUGAUCCACCAUUCUUUUAUAUUUCACAAUUAAAGUACUCCUUGUUAGUUAAACCCAC
rnacentral:lncRNA from 10 species